AGAGUUUGAUCAUGGCUCAGGAUGAACGCUGGCGGCGUGCCUAACACAUGCAAGUCGAGCGAUUCUCUUCGGAGAAGAGCGGCGGACGGGUGAGUAACGCGUGGGUAACCUGCCCUGUACACACGGAUAACAUACCGAAAGGUAUGCUAAUACGAGAUAAUAUACUUUUAUCGCAUGGUAGAAGUAUCAAAGCUCCGGCGGUACAGGAUGGACCCGCGUCUGAUUAGCUAGUUGGUGAGGUAACGGCUUACCAAGGCGACGAUCAGUAGCCGACCUGAGAGGGUGAUCGGCCACAUUGGAACUGAGACACGGUCCAAACUCCUACGGGAGGCAGCAGUGGGGAGUAUUGCACAAUGGGCGAAAGCCUGAUGCAGCAACGCCGCGUGAGCGAUGAAGGCCUUCGGGUCGUAAAGCUCUGUCCUCAAGGAAGAUAAUGACGGUACUUGAGGAGGAAGCCCCGGCUAACUACGUGCCAGCAGCCGCGGUAAUACGUAGGGGGCUAGCGUUAUCCGGAAUUACUGGGCGUAAAGGGUGCGUAGGUGGUUUCUUAAGUCAGAGGUGAAAGGCUACGGCUCAACCGUAGUAAGCCUUUGAAACUGGGAAACUUGAGUGCAGGAGAGGAGAGUGGAAUUCCUAGUGUAGCGGUGAAAUGCGUAGAUAUUAGGAGGAACACCAGUUGCGAAGGCGGCUCUCUGGACUGUAACUGACACUGAGGCACGAAAGCGUGGGGAGCAAACAGGAUUAGAUACCCUGGUAGUCCACGCCGUAAACGAUGAGUACUAGCUGUCGGAGGUUACCCCCUUCGGUGGCGCAGCUAACGCAUUAAGUACUCCGCCUGGGGAGUACGCUCGCAAGAGUGAAACUCAAAGGAAUUGACGG
rnacentral:rRNA from 1 species